AACAGGGGCGGGUGCCUUAAACUUGCAAGUCGAGCGGACAGAUGGGAGCUUGCUCCCUGAUGUUAGCGGCGGACGGGUGAGUAACACGUGGGUAACCUGCCUGUAAGACUGGGAUAACUCCGGGAAACCGGGGCUAAUACCGGAUGGUUGUUUGAACCGCAUGGUUCAAACAUAAAAGGUGGCUUCGGCUACCACUUACAGAUGGACCCGCGGCGCAUUAGCUAGUUGGUGAGGUAACGGCUCACCAAGGCAACGAUGCGUAGCCGACCUGAGAGGGUGAUCGGCCACACUGGGACUGAGACACGGCCCAGACUCCUACGGGAGGCAGCAGUAGGGAAUCUUCCGCAAUGGACGAAAGUCUGACGGAGCAACGCCGCGUGAGUGAUGAAGGUUUUCGGAUCGUAAAGCUCUGUUGUUAGGGAAGAACAAGUACCGUUCGAAUAGGGCGGUACCUUGACGGUACCUAACCAGAAAGCCACGGCUAACUACGUGCCAGCAGCCGCGGUAAUACGUAGGUGGCAAGCGUUGUCCGGAAUUAUUGGGCGUAAAGGGCUCGCAGGCGGUUUCUUAAGUCUGAUGUGAAAGCCCCCGGCUCAACCGGGGAGGGUCAUUGGAAACUGGGGAACUUGAGUGCAGAAGAGGAGAGUGGAAUUCCACGUGUAGCGGUGAAAUGCGUAGAGAUGUGGAGGAACACCAGUGGCGAAGGCGACUCUCUGGUCUGUAACUGACGCUGAGGAGCGAAAGCGUGGGGAGCGAACAGGAUUAGAUACCCUGGUAGUCCACGCCGUAAACGAUGAGUGCUAAGUGUUAGGGGGUUUCCGCCCCUUAGUGCUGCAGCUAACGCAUUAAGCACUCCGCCUGGGGAGUACGGUCGCAAGACUGAAACUCAAAGGAAUUGACGGGGGCCCGCACAAGCGGUGGAGCAUGUGGUUUAAUUUCGAAGCAACGCGAAGAACCUUACCAGGUCUUGACAUCCUCUGACAAUCCUAGAGAUAGGACGUCCCCUUCGGGGGCAGAGUGACAGGUGGUGCAUGGUUGUCGUCACUUCUUGUCGUGAGAUGUUGGUUUAAGUCCCGCAACGAGCGCAACCUUUGAUCUUAGUGGCCAGCAUUCAUUGGACACUCGUAAGGUGACU
rnacentral:rRNA from 1 species